AAUAUUUCAAUAUAAUAAUAAUUCAUAUCACUACUCAAAUAAUCAACAAAAUAUUUCUAAAUUGAAAUAACAGCAAUAGCAAAAUCACCCAAUAUUUAUUUGCCACUAACGAUUUUCUAAACACUUAUCUUGUAUUGUCAUUUAAUCCUCAUACCAGUCCUAACAUGUUGUCUCUGUUUAACUGAACAUAGAGCAGUUAAGCUAACAGGAGAAAAUUUUCAAAAAUAAUGGUAAAAGCAGACUUUCAUUCUGAAUUUAAAUCUCAUAGCACACUAGGAUUUAGACCAAGAUUUUGUGGCUUAAUUGUUCUGGGAUUUGGGGAAUUUGUUCUUUAACACCUCGCCUCAGUUUCUUCAUAGCAUCAUUACUUUAUCUGCAAAAAUGUACAGUUCUGUUAAAAUUACAUAAAAUUACAUCACAUAUGUAAAGUUCCCACUCUACAAUUUUUUAAGAAAAGCAGUUGUUCAAUGCAUAACUGCUUAAUGCAUAACUCCAUUAUGUUCAAUGCAUAACUCCAUUAGUCUCAAAGGAACCUGUCCUGCUACUACUCUUCCCACUGCUGAUAGCCUUUAGUGUGUCUCUUCACAAAUAUUGCACUCUGAUUAGUAAGUCAUAGGAGUUGUAUUUGCAGGAAUAUGCUAUAGAGAACAAAAAUACGGAAACUGAAAAUAUGCAUUUGAAUCCUAGCUCAACCAUCAUGUCAUCAUGAAGGAGGGACAAGAAAAGAAUAUAAAACACAGAACUCAAGGCAGAAUGGGAAAGUACCAUCUCACAUCCAAAUACCAUUAAUUCUAAAAAGCAUUAGAAAAAAUGAAUUAUGCCUGGAGACAAGCUGGCAAUAACCAGAGAAGGAAGUUUCAUGGUGUAUAGAGAGGGUAAAAGAACAUGGAAUGGUGAGGUUCAGCCUUUGGAUAAAGGAAGUGAAAAAAAAAAAAAAAAGCCUGGGCAUUGAAAAUGUAUUUUCGUGGAGAAAAAAGGCUUACAACCAAACCAGGAGAACAGCUUUAAUGGGAGUCAUUUGCUAAACCACCUAAAGAAAGUGAAACAAAGAUGAUCAAGAUUAUGACUAUGUGAAAUCUCCCACCCAUCAGAAGCCCUACUGUAAUUGCAUGUAGGUAAAGUGUAUUAAGAAUUUUAAAACAAUGCAUUUUUCAUUUAUCGAUUUUUUUUCUUUUAUUCAUAUUUCUUUAUUGUUUCCUUUAGAAUUUUCAUAGACUUUUUUUGUGUGUAUGCACAGUAGUAAUCCUAGAAUUGGUAUAUUUUCUCCCAUUUACUACUUCUAAGGACAAUAUAGUAUAGAAUUUAAUUUUUUUUGGUUUAUUUCUGAUAAUUCCCAAUUAAUUUCAUAUUGUUGUCUUACCUUCUCAUUAAUCAUUGCUCGUAAAAAAGUAGCAAAAAAGAAAAGGCUGUAUGCCAAUUGAUUCAGUUGAUUUACCAGGGAAAGUAACUUCCUCUUAAGAAGAGAAAUUCACUUUGUCUUAAAGUACGUUAACAGAAUAAUGGGGUAGUUGAGCAUGAAAGAUGAGGCCUUCUAAACAUAACCCAGAUAGAAGGUGUUUACUUUACAAAAAGUCAAUUUCUCUACGUAAGAAACAAACAGGAUUUUUUUUUUUGGAGUUGGGGCUGGGGGUGGAGAGGGAAGGUGAUGGUUAAUGCUGGAGAAAGUUAUCCUAAGAGGCAAGAGUAAGACACCAAUAAAGGGCAUAAGAAAGCCA
ensembl:lncRNA